UCUACGGGUGGCUGCAGUGAGGAAUAUUGGUCAAUGGGCGCAAGCCUGAACCAGCCAAGUCGCGUGAGGGAUGACGGUCCUAUGGAUUGUAAACCUCUUUUGUCGGGGAGCAAAAGACGCCACGCGUGGCGUUCCGAGAGUACCCGAAGAAAAAGCAUCGGCUAACUCCGUGCCAGCAGCCGCGGUAAUACGGAGGAUGCGAGGGUUAUCCGGAGUUAUUGGGUGAAAAGGGUGCGCAGACGGAAGAGCAAGACAGCGGUAAAAUUGAGAGGCUCAACCUCGUCGAGCCGUUGAAACUGGUUUUCUUGAGUGAGCGAGAAGUAUGCGGAAUGCGUGGUGUAGCGGUGAAAUGCAUAGAUAUCACGCAGAACUCCGAUUGCGAAGGCAGCAUACCGGCGCUCAACUGACGCUCAUGCACGAAAGUGUGGGUAUCGAACAGGAUUAGAUACCCGAGUAGUC
rnacentral:rRNA from 1 species